rnacentral:lncRNA from 1 species
GCACAGAUUAUUCACCGGUAUGAAUGUUGAAGAGAGGUAAAGAGAAUAUUGUUCGGCCCACCAUGUGCGAGUGGGAGAUGAAGGCUUUAUUUAAUUUGGGCUUAAGGCCCGUCCGCCCAAGUUGGGCCAAGAGAGCCCGGCCCACGGGAAUAUGGCCCAUGGAUGGGGGGAGGUAUAAAAGGGAGAGAGAGAGAGAGAGAGAGAGAGAGAGAAGACGUCUGUUGGAAUUAGAAAUUACGCACGUCUUUUCUCUCCCGUGCGUUUUCU